rnacentral:rRNA from 1 species
GAUGAACGCUGGCGGCGUGCCUAAUACAUGCAAGUCGAGCGAACGGACGAGAAGCUUGCUUCUCUGAUGUUAGCGGCGGACGGGUGAGUAACACGUGGAUAACCUACCUAUAAGACUGGGAUAACUUCGGGAAACCGGAGCUAAUACCGGAUAAUAUUUUGAACCGCAUGGUUCAAAAGUGAAAGACGGUCUUGCUGUCACUUAUAGAUGGAUCCGCGCUGCAUUAGCUAGUUGGUAAGGUAACGGCUUACCAAGGCAACGAUGCAUAGCCGACCUGAGAGGGUGAUCCGCCACACUGGAACUGAGACACGGUCCAGACUCCUACGGGAGGCAGCAGUAGGGAAUCUUCCGCAAUGGGCGAAAGCCUGACGGAGCAACACCGCGUGAGUGAUGAAGGUCUUCGGAUCGUAAAACUCUGUUAUUAGGGAAGAACAUAUGUGUAAUUAACUGUGCACAUCUUGACGGUACCUAAUCAGAAAGCCACGGCUAACUACGUG